rnacentral:rRNA from 1 species
UACGUAGGGUGCGAGCGUUAAUCGGAAUUACUGGGCGUAAAGCGUGCGCAGGCGGUUUUGUAAGCCAGAUGUGAAAUCCCCGGGCUUAACCUGGGAAUGGCAUUUGGGACUGCAAGGCUUGAGUGCGGCAGGGGAGGCUGGAAUUCCUGGUGUAGCAGUGAAAUGCGUAGAUAUCAGGAGGAACACCGAUGGCGAAGGCAGGUCUCUGGGCUGACACUGACGCUCAUGCACGAAAGCGUGGGGAGCAAACAGG